GAGCUUGCUCUCUUGAAGUUAGUGGCGAACGGGUGAGUAACGCGUAAUCAACCUGCCCUUCAGAGGGGGAUAACAACGGGAAACCGUUGCUAAUACCGCGUACGAUUCACAGGCGGCAUCGCUUGUGAAUGAAAGGUGGCCUCUAUGUAUAAGCUAUCGCUGAAGGAGGGGAUUGCGUCUGAUUAGCUAGUUGGAGGGGUAACGGCCCACCAAGGCAAUGAUCAGUAGCCGGUCUGAGAGGAUGAACGGCCACAUUGGGACUGAGACACGGCCCAAACUCCUACGGGAGGCAGCAGUGGGGAAUCUUCCGCAAUGGACGAAAGUCUGACGGAGCAACGCCGCGUGAGUGAUGAAGGUCUUCGGAUUGUAAAGCUCUGUUAAUCGGGACGAAAGAGUUCUGUGUGAAUAAUGCAGAAAAGUGACGGUACCGGAAUAGAAAGCCACGGCUAACUACGUGCCAGCAGCCGCGGUAAUACGUAGGUGGCAAGCGUUGUCCGGAAUUAUUGGGCGUAAAGCGCGCGCAGGCGGCCUAUCCAGUCUGUCUUAAAAGUUCGGGGCUCAACCCCCGUGAUGGGAUGGAAACUAGUAGGCUAGAGUAUCGGAGAGGAAAGCGGAAUUCCUAGUGUAGCGGUGAAAUGCGUAGAUAUUAGGAAGAACACCAGUGGCGAAGGCGGCUUUCUGGACGGAAACUGACGCUGAGGCGCGAAAGCCAGGGGAGCGAACGGGAUUAGAUACCCCGGUAGUCCUGGCCGUAAACGAUGG
rnacentral:rRNA from 1 species